rnacentral:lncRNA from 10 species
UGCUGGGGAGGCUGCCUCCGCGCGCCCACGCCUCCCUUCUCCAGUCCGGACUGCCAGCGGAGGGGAAAAUGGGCGACAGGAGAAGGGGAGGCAUCCCCUGCCCCAGGACAUAGACCUCACUCCCGAAGAAGCCGGGGACUGAAGUGCUGCAGCACCCGCUGCUCCUGGCCGGGCUGGAGCCUCUCUUCAGAAGGGCAGCAGCUCGCUUGUCACAGACCCUGGACUGCAGAAAAGCUGAUUCAGGGAUUUCCGGGCGGCUCCUCCUGUGGGGGAGUGUGCAUCUGCAUACCUGGGUGUUGGGAAGGGUGUGUGCGUGUGUUCAUGUGUGGGCUGGGGGAGAGGACACAUGCCUGAGCCCCUCUAGUCAGGUCUGCUGACCCCUCACUGUUCUUCAGAUGGAAAGGGGGACCUGGGGUAAAGGGCUCAAGGUCAGAUGCUCAGCAGGAGGGCACCAGGGGUUUCCCCCCACUCUGCUACACUCCCGUAACCUACCCCCACCUCGUCAUCCCACACUGAGGAGGGGACCUGUCACCUGAGAUGGGUGUGCGGGCUGAAGAGCAGUACCUGCUGCUCCUCUUCGGUUUCUCCCUGGGGAGAAAAGUGCUUCUGUUUUGAAAUCUCCCCCAAACCUUCUUUUGCUAGGACGAGGGAGGAUGGGACUCAAAUUUCAUUCAGCAGGCUGGAUUCAGGUUCGACUUUGGGGUUUCCUGAUGCUAAGGGUCUGGGGCAGCAUCCUGCUUGACAGGGAAAGCUUAUGCCUUCACGAUUGGAAUGUAGUGCUGCUUAGAUGAAAAGGGAUGGAUGAAAUGACCCCCAUGGUUCCUUCUGAUAAAAUGGACCAAGAGACGCCUGAGCCUUAUGCAAAGCUGCCUCCAGUAAAAUAAAGUCUAAUUACAGAAAAUAAAGC